UCCAGGCACAUACACUACCCAUCCUUCUAUUCUAUUAUUGAUCUCUCUUCUUAUCAAACCCUAAUUUACUCUCUCUCUCUCUCUCUCUCUCUAGGUUUCAACGCAGGGGAUUACAUUCCAGGACGAAUGGCCCUACUCGAUUCAUCUUCUAGGCCACAUCUACAUUGACGACAUCAGAGAAGUCUACUGGGAUUAACUACGGUUGCAAAUCGAUCCCAAAGAAGAAGCUCAUCUGCAAAUCAAUCCCAAAGAAGAAGUUCAUCAAUCAUACUGGAAUCCAGAGGGGAAGAAAAUUAGCAGUAGAAGCAAAGGUGAAAGCUUUUCAGUCUCCAAGAUCUGGUUGUGGUCUAAGAAGGGCAAAUUCACAAGUUCUUCAGAUGCCCACAUGCUUAAUUCUUCUGUAAAUGUUGGUUUGCCUCCAUGGACUGAUAGAACUCAACAAGCUACAUGAAGGUAUUUUCAUUUUGCUUUGUAUUUUAUUCAUUAAUUUUAUGGAUCCAUUUUGUUAAAGGUUUCUUUAGCUUUAGCUUUUGCUUUUUUGGCCUUGAUUUUAGGUUUCUUUUCUCCUCUCAAAUACAAAUUUGUGGGGGAUGAUUACACUUUAUGGCAGAUGGCAAUCUACUUUAGCUUUUUCAUUUGAAUUCCAUACACUUGUCAGUUUGAUAAAUGCUCUUUAGCUCUUUCCUUUUGCUUCCAAGCUUUUGUUGAUAAUUAUGCUCUUUUAUAAUUUUUAAAUUCAUAAUUUGUUCAUACUGUAGAGCCAUAAACUGGAUAUAGGUGCAACCUCCAAAAAGUGAAAGAUUCAUCAAAGUGAAAGAUUCAUUAAA